rnacentral:lncRNA from 1 species
GACUCCGUCUCAAAAAAAAAAAAAAGUUUAUCUGGAGAGCCCUUAGGACAGAGGGGAGCCCUGGGGAGCUGACCUCUAGAGGGCUGGGAAGUCUGAAGAUGGGGAACUCCUAGAGGACCCAUUCUCAACCCUGGCUGCCUAUAGAAUCACCUAGAAAUAUUUUCUUAAAAUUACCUUUGUCUUAGCCAACCCCUACCAAUUUUGAUUUCCUUAGUCAGGGCUGGGCAAACAUGGGUAUUUGAAAAAUCCUCCCAGUGAUUCCCAUGUACAGCCAAUCUGAGAAUCCUGCUCUGUCCUCCGCCCCAUGAUGCCAUCGAGGAGGCUGAGGCUCAGUGAGCAGAGGCCCUUGAUGGAGGCCACCCCACUAGUUGGGGCAAGGUCGGGUCAGAAUCUGAGGCUUCUAACCCCAUGGCAGGCUCCUUCCUAUAGGCCUCUUCUGUCCCCCAGGGGCUGGUCUGGUGUCCCACUGAGUGUCACCUGUAUUCAUUUCACCAUUUGGGCACUGAGGAGCUGUGUGACCCUUGGCAAGUUGCUUAACCUUGGUUUCUUCUUUGUGAUAAUGGGCUCCAGUGAUAAGAAUUGGACAAAAUGAUGCCUGCAAAGUGUUCAGUGGCACUUGAGGGAAGAGUAGCCACUGUCCUGCUUUUUGCCUGGGGCAGGCCUGGUGCUGCAGGAUCUGGGCAGAGGCCUCCUUGAUCGUCCCCACCCAUCAGGUGGCGGUGACAAUGGUCAGGAUUCUGCAGUUAUAUGAAUGGCCACCAGGAGUCACCCUCAGCUCAUGCUUGAAGUGAAGGCAGCACAGAAAAAGGGAAAGGAGCUGUAAGGGAGAAAAGGAGGAGGACACCCCACCACAGAGUGGAUGAGCCUGGAGGGGACCCAAGGCUGCCAGAGUGGCUGCUUCAUUUCUGCAGGAAGGUGCAGGACAGAACUCAGACUGGUGGGCACCGUGCCAGCAGGCAGAGGAGGGAGCAAAGGCUCAUUUGUCUGCCUUCGGAAUUCUCCUUCCCAUGCUGAUGUCAAAUCACAAUUCAACAGAUUCUUCAUGGGGCACCUGCUGCACACAGAGGGACAGGAAUCUUACUGAACACCUAGUAUAUGCCAGAGCCUACACACACAGUGGGCUACUCAACAUUCACAACAACUCUGUACAGUAAGUACAAAUAUUGGUCCCAAGAUACAGAUUGGGAAACUGAGGCUUAUACCAGUUAUGUGUUGUGCCCAAGGUCACCAAGCUGGAUGAGGACUGACGCCUGUCUGGAGCCUAAAUUCUUUCUCCUACACCAGAUUGACUUCCAGAGAGUUCUAGGAUACAAAGCUGGCAACAGACUUUCUGCCACGUAGAGGGAUAUGGCAGGUGACAACCCUGUCUGGCUCUGCUAAUCAGGAUCCAGUAAGAAGCUCAAGACAGGUGGCCACUCUGCUGGUAGGCAGAGGAGGGAGCUGUGCUCCCUGGGGUGGGUAGAAGUAAGGUUUGUGUGGGUGCUGGGUGUUGGACACGGGCAGGCUGCAGACAUAGCAGCAAUGAGGGGAGACUCUCUCAACCUGCCCAUGUCCUCCUCUGAGCAAUCUCCCCGCCCCAGAAUUAUUUCAGUUUCCUCAUCUGUCAGUUCUAGGGGUGGACUUCAUUCAUUCAAUACUGUGUCCCUGACCUCUGCUCCCUGCCAGGCUCUGAACUAGUCAUGUGUCAGGCUGGAUACUUAGAUGGACAAGACAAGCCAUCCCCUGCCCACAGCUGCCCCACCUGAAGUCUAGGCCAGUGACCUCCGAAGUUUUUUUGAUCAUGUGCCCUUAGCAAUAAAAAAGAUUGUUGAGU